AGGACAAUCACAGCUCUCUGUGUUCCUGUCACAGCUUCAGCUGAUUCCUCGGAGGAUUUGGAUCAGUCGGCAAUCCGACUUCCGUCUGUUGGACGCUUCCUCAUUAACUGUCUGGAUCACUUCCUCUUCUAGAUUCUGCGCUUCAUCCCCAGACUGAGAAGUGAUUCGUGGAAGCUGACUGCUGUUCUCCUGCUCUCUGAUCCUGAGUUACUGAAUAAACCUUUUAACUUUUCACUUUGUUUGGCUGAAUUUGGGUUCUCUGUCUCAGGCCGUAGUUACGACAACGUGGAAGAAGCUUAAGAUUGUUGCAGUGUUGCUUAAGACUUUGUUAAUCCACUGUUGGCAGCAAUUACACCCUGAAGUCUUUUUUUAUAUUGUGGUGUUAAUGUUACGCAUGGUUAAAACCUCAAAUGACCACCUGUGAUGACAUCAUGGGGAAGUGUCAGGUUCUGGAGGCAGGUGACGCUGAUUGUAUGAUGAAGCCCAUGCUGGAAGUUUGGAGAUCCUGAAUAAACCAAUAUCGAUGAUACA